rnacentral:lncRNA from 13 species
AUCCCACUCUCAGUCACUCUCUCACUGCAGAAGCACAUGGACUACAUUUUCUCCAGAGAGACAGAGAAAGAAGCAAAACAAAAAUAACAUUUGUUCCACCUGCCAUUGGUGAAAAUAUUAAAAUUGUUCUGUUUUUGGACAAACUCGGACCGGCUUUAAAACCAGCGGCAUUGCAACGUUUAUUUAUAUAUAUUUUUAUUCUCUUUCGUUCCUUUGAAAUUGACUGAUCUGAUACCAUCCUAAUUUCUCUGGGAGACAUGCGUGGCUGAAGGAGAAGAGGAGCCAGAGACCAACCUGAAAUUAACACCUCGUUGACACCCUCUCACAUCCCGUUCCUCCAUCUACCAUUCAACGCUUGGAGGAGAGAAAAAAAAGAUGGUUACACACUCUCCCUCUCUCUCGAUCCUCUUCUUAUCCUCUCAUUCCCACUCUCUCUCCUUCUUUCCCUCUGUUUUCGUUCCCUGUCUCUGUCCUUCCUUCCCUCUCUGUACUUCGUUCCCUCUUUCAGUUAUUCGUUCCCUCUCUCUGUCCUUCAUUCCCCCUCUCUGUCCUUCGUUCUCUCUCUCUCUGUCCUUUGUUCCCUCUCUCUGUCCUUCGUUCUCUCUCUCUGUCCUUCGUUCCCAUCUCUCUAUCCUUCGUUACCUCUCUCUGUUCUUCUUUCUCUCUCUCUGACCUUCUUUCCCUUUCUUUGUCCUUCGUUCUCUCUCUCUCUGUCCUUCGUUCCCUCUCUCUGUCCUUCGUUCUCGCUCUCUUUCUGACCUUCUUUCCCUUUCUCUGUAGUUUGUUCCCUCUCUCUGUUCUUUAUUCCCUCUCUGUCUUUCGUUCUCUCUCUCUCUCUGUCCUUCGUUCUCUCUCUCUCUGUCCUCGUUCCCAUCUCUCUAUCCUUCGUUCCCUCUCUCUGUUCUUCUUUCCCUCUCUCUAUCCUUCGUUCCCUCUACAACGUGCCACUUCGCAAACUGCCGGUCCAAAGAGUAGAACCAACAAGAACCCCUCUGAGGCCUGA